UCCCAGCCGCUCACCCGCCGCCCCGCCCGUCCCGCUCCUCUCCACCCCGCAGCCGCCUCCCUAGCUCCUCGUCCCCUUCACCAAUCCAUCCCUCCUCAUCCCAAAUCCAGCGGAUCCGAGGUGUGCGGACACAGAGGAGAAUUUCUCCGGCGGCGAUGGCAACCUGCAAGCAAAGGGCGGUGGCGGUGGCGCUCGAUUUGAUCUGCAGGAGAGAGAGAGAGAUGGAGAGGAGGGACGCCGCCAUGGGAGAGCAGGGCCAACAUGGUCUUCGUGGUGGGCAUGGAGGCGCAGAGGAGGAUGGCGGUGGGGGGUGGGAGCAGAGUAGCAGGACUUCCUGGCGGCGCUCGCGUCAUGGUGGAGUGGAGGACUCGUUGUCCAUCAUCACCAUCCCCAAUCUAGAUCUGAGCUAGAAAAGAAGAGAAAUAAUCUUGUGGAAUUUCAGAUCUGAGAUAGGAACGGGGAGAAAGGAUCUUGUGAAAGAGCUUGACGAAAAAGGAAGGGGUGAAUAAUCUCUUUCUCACGUUCAUGUUUGUUUCUGCAUUUUAAUUUUUAAGAUGCAGGUUGGCCAAUUGUAACAAUAGAAAUAUAUGCGCAUUUUUGGUUUGUGUACUUCAAUAAAAAAAUAUUUUCACUUUACCUAGAGGGAGGUUGCAUCCAGUUAUUAUUUCUGGGAGUUUUAUUGAUGAAGGUCUAAACAUGUUAAGAUAUAUUGAUGAGAUAUCACUCAUGAAGGAAUGCUCAAGGGCAUAAGAUCUAAUGUUCUUCAUGUUAUAUAGUCAUCUGGUAUAAAUUGCUAGAGUAGAUAAGAAACAGAUUUACAACAUAAUAAACAGCUCACACUCCUUGGUAUUAGCAUAUGGUUCUGACAAAAAUAUGUGCUUACUGAAACAUAACGUGCACAAUAGAGUAUGUAUUGCGGUCUGAUCAAAAAAUUGCAGAGAAGCAGCAAAAUGAGUUCCUUGUUUGAGAGGAUGCAAAUCAGACAUGUUUGUUUUAGGGUUCAGACUUCAAGAUAACUAAAAUGCAUCCCCUAAGUUUGUUCAGGCAAGAUCCAGUUUCAUUUCUUAUAUUUGUGCUUCUUCAUUGAGUGGUCUCCAAGUUUCUAUUGUUUACCAAUUCCAAAUGGAGCUCCUGGUUUGCUGUGUUGAUUCGUACCAUACAUCGGUUGAACUUUGUUUUCAAAUAGAAGGAAAUCUACUGUACUUCUUAUAUUAUGGGACAGAGUAGUAGCAUGUAUGUGUGGCGGCAGAAGGAGCAUUUCCUUCUGAAAAAAUAAUAGUAAAGAUAAGUCGAUGACACAAAGUACUGAAUAAAUCAAUACUUCUGAUGAUCUAUAUGAUACAUACUUUCCAUGUUACCUCUACUAUAUAGUUUUACAGUACAAUGUCACAUUUGUGAUAUGUACUGUACCUCAGUUACUAGCAUGAUAUAAAGUUUAUGGAUAGUUGCCAACAGAGUUCUCAUAUAUAUGUUUCUAUGUGCUUGAAUGUUCACAUUCAUCAAGUUUAAGAUUUUAUGUAUAGCUUAUGUCUUUCCAGUUAUGCAGUCACACAGUCGCAAGUCCACCAUUUCAUGAUUUUUAAUUUUCUAACUAGGUAAAAGAUUCCUUGUCCUUGGUGAGAGACAUGAAUUCACAUUGUUUCGUAGCAGAUGUAUGAAGAACAAAGAUAUCUUUCUUUAUCUUUAUUUCCCUCUACUACAUAUUAUUUAAUCGUGUCAUGUUUAUAACCUACUUGACAUGGAUACGGUUCUAUGAGAGGUCAUUGCUUAUGCAUCAGUCCUCAAGGUGGAUGUUGUUCGUUUAGAUAUUACAUUUUGUUUCCGCGAUUCCACAUUAGUCAAAAGUGUUCAUCUCAAUACUUUAUUGAGAGUGGCUUUGAAUAAUAUGGCAUCAAAACAUUUGUUUUCUCUCCAGCGAAUAAUAAAAUUAUCUACAUGCAUAUAAAACGGCUACUAAUUCUUGGUUUUAAUUAGCUUUGCAAAAGGGGUGCAAUAGGUCAAUGGACUGUUGUAUGGCUGAUGAUAAUGUUUUUUAUGUAGAAAGGAAUUUUCUCCUUUCUUUCAUAUGUCGAUAUCAACUCACUGCCUGAUUCAGGUGAUGUUUCGUGUAGAUUGGGUGACAGGAAUAUUCGUGUUAUAUCUUUACCCAUAAGCACGUGUAAUCUGGUACUCUGGUUGCUUUGACAGUUUUCUCUUCAUGUUGUAGUCAAGGCAAAAUGCAUUAGGAGACCUCCAGAAUCUGCAGAAUGGCAAGGCAUCUAGGUUUGGGUGGGGCUGGACUCCUACAAUGAUGGCGGCACCGGGCUGUGUUGCUGUACUAAAGAUAUUGUAUACAGAUGUGCCAUGUUGUUCCUCUCCAGGCGAGCUCACACCUUGUCCCCUCAGUAUAUCCCUUAUUUUCUUUUUGAAAUUUGAGCUAUAAGUUGGUCCGAUCUAUUAUAUGAGGCAGGCUUCACACUACCUGAAGAUGUUCUACUGGGUAACUGUGUGGUGCAAGGCUUACCAGAUUAUAUCUGCAGCCAAUUAGCAGAGUUUUUCGGUGGUUUUUGCACAUGCUCUAACCAGGCAGGGUGCCUGAGAUCUAACAAAGGCCUCUGGAGUGACCCUUUAAUUAUGAAUGUAGUUCUUUAAUUCUGAAUCUGCUGGUGCUCUAUUACUGUAUCAUAUCUUUAUGGUACAACUGAUCUGCUACAUCUGCUUAUGAACUUAUUUAUUAUUGCAGAUCAUACAUAGCAUAGAAUCAUCUGCACUAAGGGAUCUUGUGCAAGUAUCUAAUAUAAAGGAAACAAUUACAGGCUCCCUAAGAUUGUGUGCGCUCAAGGCAAGAUUAUGAAAUAUCUGAUCCGUGAGCUCUCAUUUGCGCUGUCCCGGCUUCUUUCAGCUGUCAUAUGAUCGAUCUCUUCCAAUGGAUAAAGCUACUGAGUCCAAUGAAAGAUAUAACCUUGCUGGAAAUGUAUUGGAGCAGUAUAACACACGGCAAAAUUAAUCGUUGAAUUUGAGCCAGGUAUUCCUCUCUUUGUUUUUUUAUAUCAGAUAUUACCUGUGAUGGCAAGGUAAAUUUGGUACUAUCCAGAUCGAAGGUGCAUGUCCUCAGUGAUUUACUCUGCUUCCUGGACAUGAACUCUUAUCGUAUAUUUACGAGCAUGCUCAUAUUUACAUCUACAUGGUCUCUUCAAAACAAAAAAGGCCUUACCGCUCCCUUCUAAUCCCAUAUAUUAAUUGAUAAGUGUCACGGUUUCUGUAUCUAUUUCAGUUAUAUGUAUUUUUCAGUGUGCCCCCAUCCUAUUUUCUGCAGGCAAACAUGAAUGCAUGAUCCAGAUUCUAGAUGCAUCUUUUAGUACAAUAAUCUCAGGCUAUACUGAAAAGUGUACUGCUUAUAUAGCGAAUAUCUUUAAUUCAUAUGCUCGUCUACUGGGUGCUCGCUGCUAUCUUUGGUUCAUAUGGUCUCCGGCUUGACGCUCGCUGCUAUCUUUGGUUCAUAUGGUUCAAGAGGCUUUGACCUACUUCCUGCUGGUUACUCGCCAAGCCUCCAUGGCAAUUCAUCUACAAAUUAGGCAUGGAGCAAGAGUUUUGUUCGGCAUCCCUUGCAUUUUCCUUGUUAGGUUCCAUUCUUCAAAGCAUGUGGGAAAGCGUAGCAGUACACUGCAAUUCACAAUGUCAUUUGAUAGCGGAUAGGGUAUUUUGUUUCCAUUACGAACUGAUAAUGAUUAAGAGCAUAGUAAGGUAACAAUAAUCUAUGUUAUAGCAGAAUAUAGAUGUAGUGUGCUUGUCUAUAUAUAAUGCAGAGUUUAGAAAUGAACUAAAAUCUGAGAGCAGGAAGUAAUAGGCUUAUUUUCCAGUUAGAAAAAUAUGUGUACCGUAGCAUCAUGUAUUCAGCUAAUCCCUUGCAUUUUUUUGCCAGGUUCAUGUUUUAUAUAUUGUCUACACCCACAUAAGCUAAAGUUUGUAGUGUCAGCAGUAAACAGGGGCACAACUUAGUAUGGGUAGAAAAAUAAGAGCUUGUGAAAAGAAUAGUAUCUCUAUUACAGGAUAAGAAUGACUCUUUAGUUUUAUGCUGAUGUGUGAAAGCAUCCCAUUAUCAUGCAAAUAGUAUCAGGUUUAGAGCCUUGAUUAUGGCGGCUAUAAACCCAAAACAAUUCAUCUUAUUAUUUAGUAUACAAAGCACGUUCUGGUGGGAAUGACUCCAAUUAGAAUUCUAGCUGCCGGCAUAUAUCUGAUUGGUCCCAGAUUGAAAAUCUCAAUUGUCAGGACUUGCUUGUAUGCAUUCCUAAAUAGUGUUACAUGUCUUAUGACCAUUGUUCAUCCUAAACUGUGUUUGCUAAAAAAAGUGCCUAAAAUUUAGUGACCAUAGCUUUCCACUUUAGUUCAUAAACUGGAUGGCAAAAUAGAGUUUGCCCAUUUCAUAUCUAUGUUGUCUUAUUAGGAAAAUAGAGUUUGUUUUAUAGCUGAUGCUUAAUAUGUUUCAUCGAUCGGUGAAUGCUCAAGUUUAGCUCAUAAACUAGAUGGCAAAUGCUAAUUCUGAUGGGGCUUUUGCCACUUACUGUUUUAUGGUUGUCUAGACAGCUGAUGGAAUGCUUCUUUCUGCGAAUUGUCAAUUCUUUUGUACAUGGUCCCUUCUUUCUGCCAAUUGUCAAUUCUUUUGUACAGGGUCUCCCGGCUACUUAUGCUUCGCUAGACAAUGAGUAUGUAGAUAGCAUGUAUGGUUUUUACAUUGUUUUGCACAGGUUGAGAUGCAUCACAUGAUGUUUUCCUUUUACAUUUAUGAGUAUUACAGAGUCCUUUCUUUUUCCACAAGGGCCAAUAGUUGUGCCAUUUGAUUCGAAACACAAAGAGUUGAUCACAAAGGGGUAGUAUUCAGGAUAUAUACACAAAAGAGUAUAGAACCAAAUUAUAUGAUGUAAUUGGCUACUAUUUCUAUUAACUUCUCCUGUACACAACGUUCACGAGUUCAUGUAUUAAGUGCAUUUUAUUGUGUCACUUGUGUUUACUCUUUUUAAUGCAAAUUUACAGCUACUCGGAA